CCAGACAGCCAGGAUGUUGGCUUAGAAGCAGCCAUCAUUUAAAGAAAGCGUAAUAGCUCACUGGUCGAGUCGGCCUGCGCGGAAGAUGUAACGGGGCUAAACCAUGCACCGAAGCUGCGGCAGCGACGCUGAUGCGUUGUUGGGUAGGGGAGCGUUCUGUAAGCCUGCGAAGGUGUGCUGUGAGGCAUGCUGGAGGUAUCAGAAGUGCGAAUGCUGACAUAAGUAACGAUAAAGCGGGUGAAAAGCCCGCUCGCCGGAAGACCAAGGGUUCCUGUCCAACGUUAAUCGGGGCAGG
rnacentral:rRNA from 2 species